AGAACGAACGCUGGCGGCAUGCCUAACACAUGCAAGUCGAACGUGAUCCAGGCUUCGGCCUGGUGAAAGUGGCAGACGGGUGAGUAACGCGUGGGAACCUGCCCUGUGGUAGGGAAUAACCGUGGGAAACUGCGGCUAAUACCCUAUGAGUCCUUCGGGAGAAAGAUUUAUCGCCAUAGGAGGGGCCCGCGUCGGAUUAGGUAGUUGGUGGGGUAACGGCCUACCAAGCCUUCGAUCCGUAGCUGGUCUGAGAGGAUGAUCAGCCACACUGGGACUGAGAUACGGCCCAGACUCCUACGGGAGGCAGCAGUGGGGAUAUUGGACAAUGGGGGCAACCCUGAUCCAGCAAUGCCGCGUGGAUGAUGAAGGCCUUCGGGUUGUAAAGCUCUUUCGCUCGGGACGAUAAUGACGGUACCGAGAUAAGAAGCCCGGCUAACUUCGCGCCAGCAGCCGC
rnacentral:rRNA from 1 species